CGAGUUUUGAUCCUGGCUCAGGAUGAACGCUAGCUACAGGCUUAACACAUGCAAGUCGAGGGGCAGCAUUAGGUAGCAAUACUGAGAUGGCGACCGGCGCACGGGUGCGUAACGCGUAUCCAACCUUCCCGUUACUCUCGGAUAGCCUUCCGAAAGGGAGAUUAAUACGAGAUGGUGUUGAAAUUCCGCAUGUUAUUUCAACUAAAGAUUCAUCGGUAACGGAUGGGGAUGCGUGACAUUAGGUAGAUGGCGGGGUAACGGCCCACCAUGCCUACGAUGUCUAGGGGUUCUGAGAGAAGGUCCCCCACACUGGAACUGAGACACGGUCCAGACUCCUACGGGAGGCAGCAGUGAGGAAUAUUGGUCAAUGGUCGGAAGACUGAACCAGCCAAGUAGCGUGAAGGAUGAAGGUUCUAUGGAUUGUAAACUUCUUUUAUACGGGAAUAAAACCACCUACGUGUAGGUGCUUGUAUGUACCGUAUGAAUAAGCAUCGGCUAACUCCGUG
rnacentral:rRNA from 1 species